ACUCAAGUUCUCUGCCUCUCAGGCCAGUGCAUUAUCCACUACCCACUCUGCUUCUCCAGGCCACAUGGCUUCUCAAACCUUUGUGUGCUACCAACUGUAAUGAUCAAAAGCAAGGGAAUUUUAAUAGUUUAUUGUACUUCUCUUGGGAGUUUCAGUUGGUAAGAAUUUCAAAAGAUCUCAGAUUAUUUGUUAUUCUUUCAUUUUUUUUUAUAAGCACCCAGUGCCUUCUUUCAGGUGACAUAGCCAAAAAUGGUUAAAAAAAAGGGCAGCCUAUAAUAGCCUAAAGAGGCAAAAAGAGCCAAAAUACUGUUUUAAACUAUUUGAUACUUAAAGCCCUUUCAAUUCUCAGUCUCUUUCUCCAUGUAUUUACCCCUCACAGUUUUGAGAUAAUGAACUCUGCCUAGUUUUAUUCCUGGUUUGUCACUUUUUCAUUCUUCUGCUUCCUGGAUUGGUGCCAGGACUCAUAAUUCUCAUGUGAACAGCUUUAAAUGGUGACUUUGUGGCCCUUUUCAAGGUAAAAUAUUUCUAUUUACAAACAGUUUUAUAAAAAUAAAGGGGCUGUGUGGACUGUGUUCUUGAUAGGGCUUCAGAAAAUGGGUUAGUCGCUGUGGAUAUUAUGCACUGCAUUCCCGAGGAGGAGUAAAAGCUGGGAUGCAUUCCAUUAAGGAUGCUGGAAGUUACAUUUUUCCCCCCCUCUUCUGAAAAUCUAUUAAAUACAAUGGUGGCUGUCCUGAGGCAUCUCUCUUUUUUUUCUAAUUGCCUUCUUGAUCCUUUUAGAUGAAAAUAGAAGCCUCAGUAAUCCUUGGUGUUGUCUCAGCAACUAGACUUCCCAAAGCCAGAGACAAUAUUGGAUUUUUCAAAGGUCAUUUCACUUUUCCACUUCAACUACUCCACUCUCCACAUAACAUGAAAAUGACAACUAUUAGCAUUUGUUAAAACCAUAGAUCAUAUUUAACUUUGGGCUUUUAUCCUGAUGGGCAGUCUGGUUUUUAUGUACUGUCAUAGAGUGCAAUCCAAAAACUUUCCAUGUUUAAGACAGCUGAGUUAGCUUAGUACUGCCAAGUGUGCCAGUUGUGUCUCCCUCUGUCAGCUAGAUCGGCAGACCUGCCCUCUUGAGAGGUCAGGAGGUAGGGUGGCCACUGACAGCCCUCCAAUAGAAAGUUGGACACUCCUUUGUCGACCCAGAAGGAGUAGCUGGAAGCUGUGUUGUUUCCGGUAAGUAGGUUACGUAACUUAACACAAUGACGCCAUAAGGACUAUCAAGAAAGGUUCUUUACAGAGAUCCACAGAACCUGGUGUAUCUGUAGAGAUGGCAAUGGGUGGGUAGUUGAGAGGGAGGGGGAGUCCUCUGAUUACCUAUCGUUGCAGAACCACUGGAUUCUCCUUUCAGGUUCCUGUACAGAAGGGUGCAGCUUCAGGGUCAUGGAACUUGGCAGAAUAAACGGAGGCUUGGUGUUUAAAAUUUUAAAAUACUAGACAUAAAAGUGUCCACUGAGGAACAGAGGGCAGAGCAACUGAAAACCAGACCCUAUCAGCAGAAGGAAGAGCCAGCCACACAUCUGAUCAUCUCUUUCAUGAGCACAGAUUAUGGGUCUGGAAAAACGGAUGCUCAAUUAGUGUGGUGGCAGGACUUGGAAGAUACUUUUUCAAAGGCACAAAGAAGAAGCCAAAGGAAAAAAAACAGAGCUUCAAGGACAAUCGAAGCUUAUCUUAGGGUCAUUAAGAAAUGCAAUCUUCUCCAUAAGUCUUGUCAGUUGUGAAAAGGGUUAUAGUUGGCCUAAGGUUGAUCCUCCUGUAUAGAGGGGCAUCAAAAAAAUAAAUCCCAAGAGAGACAGCUGUUAUCAUCAUUAAUGGCAUUUACCGAGGCUUACUAUGUGCAGCGCACUGUAUUACACACUUGGGAGAGUUCAAUACAGCAAAGUUGGAAGAACGUCUCUUCAAGCUUACCUGCCAAAUUCACACCAAAUGCCCUGCCAAGUAACAGCCAAAUUAUGGCAACUCUCUAAAUAUAUUCUGCCAAAAAGAGCUGACCAAGUUUCUAACUUUAGCAUAAUAUCAAUAUCUAAGUGCCAUUUUCCUGCAGUUAAAUAAGCCUGGACAUUUCCUAACCAUGUUCUGUGUGGUUUCACCAUUGGCUUUUUAUUUACUGGACCUGGAAAUGUCAUAUUGUGAAAAAUUCUUCAUCUUUUAAAAAGUUAUUUAUUAAAAGAAAAUGUUGGAAAUCUC